rnacentral:lncRNA from 1 species
AAGAAAGACAGCUUCGACAAACAGCAACACCCAUGAAACGUUUGGAGAAGAAUGUUUCUCUUUUGCUCUUUCUUGUGUGAAUUCUAUAUAGGUCAGCGACUCUCAAACUUUGGGAUGAAAAUGAGCCCAUGGGGAGCUUGGUGAUUCAGACACCAUGAUUCAGACACCUGCUCCUCAUACCCUCGCAAGUUCUGAUUCGGUAGCUUUGGGGAGCGCAUCCUUGCCACCGUGCCCGCACUUACCGCUGCGCCCAGGCACCUACCACUAUCUACGAUCUUAAGACCCACUUGCGUCCUGUGCCAAAUCCUGAUGGAUCACAAUACAGCGCCGGUCCUGCACCCUGUGUCACAGCCUACACCUGAAAACCACAUCACGGAAGGAAAACCAGCAAUCUUUUAACUGAUUGCAAAGCCCAUCGAUGAUAUCAACCUAAAUCCGCCCUCAACCGAAAAUUCCCAAAAUGUUCCCAGCCACUCCAAGGCCUCCUGCCAGGAGAGCAGGUAUGACCGAGGGGGGUCAAAGGGGAAGACUCAGAGGACUGAACGGAUUACAGUUCAAUAUCCUACUUUUGGGAAAUUUACAAAACAUGCGCCUGUAGGAAGACGUUGCCUGGGCUGCUCCAGGGCCUUGAGAUUUAAGCCUCCCCGGGGUCAUGGUAAACUACAGCUGUCUUCAUGAACCGGGCGAUAGAGAAGAGGCUGCAGAAAGACUGAGAAAUUAUUAAGAUCUCAAUAUGCACCCAGUGGCAUUGGAUGGUUCAGGAAGACCUGUGGUUCAGCACGGGGAGCUCUACUCUGGACUCUGCAGUAACCUACAUGGGGAAGGAAUCUGAAAAAGAAUAGCUGCGUGUAUGUGUGUGACUGAAUCGCUUUGUUUUCCAGCAGAAAUUAACACAUUGCAAGGCAACUAUACUGCAGUAACAUUUUUUUUCAAUGAAAAAAAAGAAAGAAAGAAAAACUUCCCUUCUCUCUUCGACUUGGACUUUCUUUGGCCAGUCAGGAGGGAACCAAAAUUCUAAUUGUCCAAGGAUCUGUCCCCAGCACCUUUUCUUUACAGAUGAACCUUAUUGACGCCGGGCUGUGAAGGGAAAACUGGGGACGCUUAAGAGUAUUCAGAUAAUUGAAGCUGCAAAACCACGUCGUCUAGAUCAAUUAAAAAAUCUUCCUGGCUACAUGCAUUUGCAUAUUUCCAUUCAUUCCCCACUUCCCUUGGACUGUAUGAUCUCCAGGCAGCUCUUAAUGACAACAGCCCUUCAUUACCAACCACAACUGAUGCGGACGGUAAGUGCUACCCAGCUAUUCGGUGUAAAGCACAUCAUAACCCAUAAGGAGCCAUCAUCCGCACGCUGGAAAGGCUUGAGCAAACGCUAUGGCAUGGGACUGGAACCCAGGAUAAGUGGAAAGCCUUGGAAAUAAAGCUCUUAGUGGCUUUCAGUAAACACAAAUCUCAGAGAGAGAUGAAUUCCUUCCCAAAGAACUGAGAAUUGCAAAUGCGAGAAUUACUCAUUGUUUAAAAUAUUGCAUAAUUACAGAAAGCAGAGAUGAUGUUGAGAAUCUAGAGGUAGACAAGUUGCCUGUU